UACGUAGGGUGCAAGCGUUAAUCGGAAUUACUGGGCGUAAAGCGUGCGCAGGCGGUUCUAUAAGACAGAUGUGAAAUCCCCGGGCUCAACCUGGGAACUGCAUUUGUGACUGUAGAGCUGGAGUGCGGCAGAGGGGGAUGGAAUUCCGGCGUGUAGCAGUGAAAUGCGUAGAUAUGCGGAGGAACACCGAUGGCGAAGGCAACUCCCCUGGGCCUGCACUGACGUCCAUGCACGAAGCGUGGGAGCGAACAACGGA
rnacentral:rRNA from 1 species